GGCGCUUUGACCGAGUGGUUUUAAGGUGAUCGCUUGCUAUUGAGCUAGACAGCGGUUGGGAUUUUCCCGCGUGAGUUCGAAUCUCACAGGCGUCG
rfam:Trichosporon asahii var. asahii CBS 8904 unplaced genomic scaffold scaffold00190, whole genome shotgun sequence.